rnacentral:rRNA from 1 species
AGCGAACGUUUGCGGCGGGCCUAACACAUGCAAGUCGAACGAUAACCCAGCUUGCUGGGGGAAAGUGGCGCACGGGUGCGUAACACGUGGGUAAUCAACCCUUUGGAUCGGGACAACCCGGGGGAAACUCGGGCUAAUACCGGAUAAGUCGUGGGAGUCUUCGGGUACCCACGGGAAAGGCCCGCAAGGGCUACCAUUGGACGAGCUCGCGGCCCAUCAGCUUGUUGGUGAGGUAAUGGCUCACCAAGGCUAAGACGGGUAGCUGGUCUGAGAGGAUGAUCAGCCACACUGGAACUGAGACACGGUCCAGACUCCUACGGGAGGCAGCAGUGGGGAAUAUUGCGCAAUGGGCGAAAGACCUGACGCAGCCACGCCGCGUGUGCGAUGAAGGUCUUCGGAUCGUAAAG